rnacentral:rRNA from 1 species
UCUACCUGAUCUUGCCCGUAACAUAUGCUUGUCUCAAAGAUUAAGCCAUGGAUGUUUACGUACACCCAGCUGAUACAGUGAAAUUGUGAAUGGCUCACUAAAUCAAUUUUGGUUCCUUUGGUUGCUUGCUCCUUUGCUGUUUGAAUAACUGGUAAUUGUAGAGAUAAUACAUCAUGAUAAGCACUAGCCCCGUUUGUUGGGGGGGGGAAUGUGUGCAUUUAUCAAAUCAACACCCACCUGGACAAAUCAUCUUCCUCUUGGACAGAGGUGAGCACCAGUGUCUUUGUUGACCCUAGAUAACAUGCCCCAGUAUUGGCAACGACCCCUUUAAACAAGCUUCCCUGACAAAUUUCACUGCUAGUUGUUGUGCCUACCGUGGUGAUCACGGGUGAUGGAUGCUGGGAAAUCAGGGCUUGAUUCCUGAAAGGGAGGCUGAGAAAUAGCUACUACAUCCAAGGAAGGCAGCAGGUGUGCAAAUUACUCACUUCCAACCCAAAAAAGGUGUAACAAAUCUAAUACAGGAGACUUGUGCGGCCCUGUAAAUGGAAUGAUUACACUUAAAAUAUUUUUCUGAGGAUCCAUUGGAAGACAAGUCUGGUGCCAGCAGCUAUGGGAAUUCUAGCUCCAACAGCAUAUCGGUGGGGCCUGAAGUGUUCACUUUGGAAAAUCCUAUUCCAUCAUCCCCAGCUAUAGUAUCCAGACAGCUCAGUCCUGUUUUGAACACUAACCUUGGUUCUGUGAGUUUGGUUUUUGGAAGUGAGGUCAUGAUUAAGAGAGACUGCCAGGGGCAUUUGUAUGGCACCACUAGAGGUGAAAAUUUUGGACUGCUGGAAGCUGGACCAGAGUAAGAGCAUUUGCCAAGAAUAUUUUCAUUAAUGAACAAUGAAAGUUGAUUCUAAGACAAUUGGAUAGUGUAAUUAUGACCAUAAAUGAUGCCAAUUCACACUGUGAUAACAUUCCCGUGCCCACUGAGCUGCUUGUGGGAAACCAAAGUCUGGGUUCCACAGGGAGUAUGAUUGCAAAGCUGAAACUUUAAAGGAACUGAUGGAAGGGCACCACCAGGAACGGGAGCCUGUGGCUUAAUUUGACUCAGCAUGGGAUACCUCCAUUGGUCCAGACAUCUACAGGAUUGACAAACCAACAGCUCUGCCUUCAUGCCAUGGGUGAUGGUGUAUGGUCAUUCUUAGUUGGUGGAGCCAUUUGUUAAUUUUGACAAUGAAUGGACUGGCAUGCUAACUAGUUAUGUGACCCACAAGUAUUCCUGUUUCCCAACCACUUAGAUGGACAAGUGGUAUUAGGCACCUAAGAUAUAUCAAUAAUAGAUCAGCAAUGCCCCCCCUUAUAUAUGUGAGCUUGCAGGUAUGCUACAUUGAAUGGCUUAGUGUGUGCCUAGAGUAUGGCAUCAAGUCUAUGUAAAUUUUUGAAUCCCAUUUUGAUUGGUAUUGGGGAUUUCAGUUUUUCCUGAUGAACAAGGAAUUCCCAAUUGUGGUUGUAAGCUUGUCUUCAGUUCUUGUCUCUUUUAUACACCCCCUAUUGCUACUAACAAUUGAGUGGCUUCAUGAGGACCUUGCAUCAGCCCAACUGGUUUUGGCCCAUGACCCUGGUGGGUCUCUGAUAAAAAUGUUGAAUGUCAUUUAGAGGAAUAAAAGCAAACAUUUUCUAUAAGUGAACCUGUGGAGG